ACGAACGCUGGCGGCAUGCCUAACACAUGCAAGUCGAACGAGACCUUCGGGUCUAGUGGCGCACGGGUGCGUAACGCGUGGGAACCUGCCCUUAGGUUCGGAGUAACUCCCCGAAAGGGGUGCUAAUACCGGAUAAUGUCUUCGGACCAAAGAUUUAUCGCCUUUGGAUGGGCCCGCGUUGGAUUAGCUAGUUGGUAGGGUAAAAGCCUACCAAGGCGACGAUCCAUAGCUGGUCUGAGAGGAUGAUCAGCCACACUGGGACUGAGACACGGCCCAGACUCCUACGGGAGGCAGCAGUGGGGAAUAUUGGACAAUGGGCGAAAGCCUGAUCCAGCAAUGCCGCGUGAGUGAUGAAGGCCUUAGGGUUGUAAAGCUCUUUUACCCGGGAUGAUAAUGACAGUACCGGGAGAAUAAGCUCCGGCUAACUCCGUG
rnacentral:rRNA from 1 species